UUGUUGCGUAUAAGGUAAAGGUUGUAACUAACCACUAAGGGAGCGGCCUGCGUCCUAUCAGCUUGUUGGUGGGGUAAAAGCCUACCAAGGCGAUGACGGGUAGCUGGACUGAGAGGUCGGUCAGCCACAAGGAGACUGAGACACGGCUCCUACACCUACGGGUGGCAGCAACUAGGAAUAUUGCGCAAUGGACGAAAGUCUGACGCAGCGACACCGCGUGAAGGAUGAAGGCUCUUGGGUCGUAAACUUCUUUUGCCAAGCCGUCGAGGUUUGGCGAGUAAACACCUACAAACUACGUGCCAGCAGUCGCGGUAAUACGUAGGGUGUAAGCGCUAUCCGGAUUUAUUGGGCGUAAAGUGUCUCGUAGGCGGUUUUUUAAGUCCGAGCUUAAACACCGAGGCUCAACCUCGGAUACAGGCUUGGAUACUGGGAAACUAGAGGAAAGACGGGGAUGCCGGAAUUUGCGGAGGAGCAGUGAAAUGCGUUGAUAUCGCAAAGAACACCAAAGGCGAAGGCAGGCAUCUAGGCUUUUUCUGACGCUGAGGAACGACAGCUAGGGGAGCGAAAGGGAUUAGAGACCCCUGUAGUCCUAGCCGUAAACUUUGUCUGCUAGAUAGUCCCGAUUUAUCGGGACUGUCGCAAGCUAACGCGUUAAGCAGACCGCCUGGGGAGUACGGCCGCAAGGUUGAAACUCAAAGGAAUUGACGGGGAGGCGCACAACCAGUGGAGCGUGUGGUUUAAUUCGAGACGAAACGAAAGACCUCACCUGGGUUUGACAUCCUAGACAGUUAGCGCCCGGAAACGGGUGGCGAACCGUUAAGUCGGUAUCUAGGAAAGCUGCUGCAUGGCUGUCGUCAGCUCUAGGCGUGAGCUGUAGGCUUAAGUGCCUCAUAGAGCGCAACCCCUACCCGCUGUUAAAUUUUUUCAGCGGGAACUGCUUCGACCAUCCGUCGAAGAGGAAGGAGGGGACGACGUCAAGUCAGCACGGCGCUUAUGUCCAGGGCCACACACACACUACAAUGGACCAGACAACGGGUUGCAAGCGGGUAACCGUAAGCUAAUCUCUUAAACUGGUCCUCAGUUGGGAUUGAGGGCUGCAACUCGCCCUCAUGAACCCGGAAUUGGUAGUAAUCGCGGAUCAGCAUGCCGCGGUGAAUACGUUCUCGCCUCUUGUACACACUGCCCGUCAAAUCAACAAAGUCAGGGGUAGCCGAAGCCCGGUCAGUUAUUAACCGGAUUAAGCUAAACUUGGCGAUGGGGGUUAAGUCGUAACAAGGUAUCCGUUCUGGAAGGAGCGGAUG
rnacentral:rRNA from 1 species